rnacentral:misc_RNA from 1 species
AACGCACAUUGCGCCCUUUGGCAUUCCGAGGGGCAUGCCCGUUCGAGCGUCAUUAAAUCCAAUCAAGCCUGGCUUGGUAUUGGGCGUCGGGGUCCCCCCGCGCCCCAAUUUCGCCGGCUGGCCGUCGCCCGUCGUAGCGUUGUGAUACACCUCUCGCUGCCGACAAACGCGGACCACGCCGUCAGAACCCCACGAAUUUCAAUCGAAAUUCGAUUAGGUUGACCUCGGAUCGGGUAGGAAUACCCGCUGAACUUAA